rnacentral:rRNA from 1 species
GACGAACGCUGGCGGCGUGCUUAACACAUGCAAGUCGAGCGGAAAGGCCACUUCGGUGGUACUCGAGCGGCGAACGGGUGAGUAACACGUGAGUAAUCUGCCCCUGGCUUUGGGAUAGCCACAGUAAACGGUGAUUAAUACCGGAUACGACAACUUCUCGCAUGGGAUGGGGGUGGAAAGAUUUUUCGGACAGGGAUGUGCGCGCGGCCUAUCAGCUUGAUGGUGAGGUAAUGGCUCACCAUGGCUUCGACGGGUAGCCGGCCUGAGAGGGUGACCGGUCACACUGGGACUGAGACACGGCCCAGACUCCUACGGGAGGCAGCAGUGGGGAAUAUUGGACAAUGGGCGGAAGCCUGAUCCAGCAACGCCGCGUGAGGGAUGACGGCCUUCGGGUUGUAAACCUCUUUCAGCAGGGACGAAGCGCAAGUGACGGUACCUGCAGAAGAAGCACCGGCCAACUACGUGCCAGCCGCCGCCGUAA